UUGCUUCUCUUGAGAGCGGCGGACGGGUGAGCAAUGCCUAGGAAUCUGCCUAGUGGUGGGGGAUAACGUUCGGAAACGGACGCUAAUACCGCAUACGUCCUACGGGAGAAAGCGGGGGAUCUUCGGACCUCGCGCCAUUAGAUGAGCCUAGGUCGGAUUAGCUAGUUGGUGAGGUAAUGGCUCACCAAGGCGACGAUCCGUAACUGGUCUGAGAGGAUGAUCAGUCACACUGGAACUGAGACACGGUCCAGACUCCUACGGGAGGCAGCAGUGGGGAAUAUUGGACAAUGGGCGAAAGCCUGAUCCAGCCAUGCCGCGUGUGUGAAGAAGGUCUUCGGAUUGUAAAGCACUUUAAGUUGGGAGGAAGGGUAGUAACUUAAUACGUUGCUACUUUGACGUUACCGACAGAAUAAGCACCGGCUAACUUCGUGCCAGCAGCCGCGGUAAUACGAAGGGUGCAAGCGUUAAUCGGAAUUACUGGGCGUAAAGCGCGCGUAGGUGGUUCAGUAAGUUGGAAGUGAAAUCCCCGGGCUCAACCUGGGAACUGCUUUCAAAACUGCUGAGCUAGAGUACGGUAGAGGGUGGUGGAAUUUCCUGUGUAGCGGUGAAAUGCGUAGAUAUAGGAAGGAACACCAGUGGCGAAGGCGACCACCUGGACUGAUACUGACACUGAGGUGCGAAAGCGUGGGGAGCAAACAGGAUUAGAUACCCUGGUAGUCCACGCCGUAAACGAUGUCAACUAGCCGUUGGAAUCCUUGAGAUUUUAGUGGCGCAGCUAACGCAUUAAGUUGACCGCCU
rnacentral:rRNA from 1 species